rnacentral:lncRNA from 1 species
UUGCCAUGUGUCCAUUCAUGCUAGGAAGGUUGAUUUAUAUGUCAUAUCAUAUGCCCCUCACGUUCGAGUCUGAGCCAUUUUCUUUGGCUCAAGCAAAAGAAGUAGUUGGAUUGCAAUUGACCUUGUUUAUGAUUAAAAAAUUGUGUUAUUAGAAAUAAUUUGAUCGUGCCUGUACCUUUCAUUAAAUUGGUGCUUAGCCAACCAAAUCGAAUCAUACCAAGCCAAAGCUCGAUCGAUGCUCAAUUGACCAAGUCAAAUCAUCUCGAGCCAUAACUCGUACUUGUCGUUGGGUCGGUGUUCAGUCGAUGAAGUCGAAUGCCCAAGCCGUAGCUCGUAUUUGUCAUUAGGUCGGUUCUCGUCCAAUCAAAUGGAAUCAUCUUGAGUCGGAGCUCGUACUUGUCAUUAGAUCGGUGUUGAGCCGACCAAGUUGAAUCAUCUCAAGCCAUAGCUCGUACUAAUCGUUAGAUCGAUAUUCAGCCAACCAAGUCGAAUCAUUUCGAGUCGGAGUUCAUACUUGUUGUUUGAUCGGUGUUCAGCCAAUCAAGUCGAAUCAUUUCGAGCUGUAGCUCAUAGUUGUUGUUAGGUCGGUGUUCAGCCGAUCAAAUCGAAUCAUCCCGGUCGGAGCUAGUUGAUUAUCUAUGUAGUUAGGAUUUGGAGGUUCCAGUCGAAGCUGGGGUGAUCUCAAUUGAUCUUCUUUAGUUGCUUGGAUGGAUCUAGAUCCUUAGUUGAUUUUCUACUCUCCUUGCUACUGAUGUUUGGCUCACUAGGUCUUUAAUUCAACUCAUUUUUUAUAUGAAGAGCGAUUCGUAGAGAUCUUUCAUGUUGAAUGAGGUCGGUGUCAAUUGGAUUGCUCUGAGUUCAUAGUAGCUCGAUGUGGUUUGGGAU